GAAAUGCGAUAAGUAGUGUGAAUUGCAGAAUUCAGUGAAUCAUCGAAUCUUUGAACGCACAUUGCGCCCCUUGGUAUUCCAUGGGGCAUGCCUGUUCGAGCGUCAUCUACACCCUCAAGCUCUGCUUGGUGUUGGGCGUCUUUGUCCCGCCUCCGCGCGCGGACUCGCCCCAAAUUCAUUGGCAGCGGUCCUUGCCUCCUCUCGCGCAGCACAUUGCACUUCUCGAGGUGUUGCGGCCCGCGUCCAGAAAGCAAUCGUUACCGUCUUUGACCUCGGAUCAGGUAGGGAUACCCGCUGAACUUAAGC
rnacentral:misc_RNA from 1 species